CAUGUGUCACUUUAAGAGGCAAAGUUUGAAAGGACUGGGGGAAAGUGACAACAGCGACAUUUAUGAAACCCCUUGAAUCCCUCUCCACACGAGAGCUGCCAGAACAACCAUUAACCUUGAGUUUUUGUUUUUCCAGUGUUAUUUUAAAUAAUGGCAACUCACUGGAUCCAUGGUUUUGGUUUUGCUCUCCUUGCUGUUCUGCCUGAGACCCGAGUUUGAGAAUAUUGCUUCCAAAACAGCCAUGAUUUUUGGAUUUCCCUGGUGGUCCAGUGGUUAAGAAUCUGCCUGCCCAUGCAGGGGACACAGGUUUGAUCCCUGGUUGGGAAAGAUUCCACAGGCUUCAGAGCAACUAAGCUGGUGAGCCACAGCUACUGAAGCCUGCCUGGCUUAGAGCCUGCUUGCUGUCAACAAAAGCAUCCGCAUUGAGAAGCCCCUGCGCCACAACAGAGAGCCUGGCUCCCUGCAACCAGAGAAAGCCCUCAGGUAGCAAGGAAGACCAAGCACAGACAAAAAUAAAAAUAAAAUUU